AUCAGUCGCAGAACUACCUCCUGGCAGGGGCGGGGGAACCACUUUCGGCUGCUACUUCGGCAGCCUUGGGGUGAAGUCCGUCAGCGGCAAGCAGCUUCCACCGAAGGAUCCCCUGGGGAUGCCUCUGUGCGUGGCUGCUUGCAACGGCGGGCCGGGUCUUUGAUCUCUCUGACCCGAAUCCGACAGCUAACUUCGCAGGCCAUCCAGAGAGGAACC
rnacentral:sRNA from 2 species